UACGUAGGCAGCGAGCGUUGUUCGGAGUUACUGGGCGUAAAGAGUGCGUAGGCGGUGCUCCAAGUUUGGUGUGAAAUCUCCCGGCUCAACUGGGAGGGUGUGCCGAAAACUGGAGUGCUCGAGUGUGGGAGAGGUAAGCGGAAUUCCUGGAGUAGCGGUGAAAUGCGUAGAUAUCAGGAGGAACACCUGCGGUGUAGACGGCUUACUGGACCAUGACUGACGCUGAGGCACGAAAGCGUGGGGAGCAAACAGG
rnacentral:rRNA from 1 species